rnacentral:misc_RNA from 1 species
GAUGAAGAACGUAGCAAAAUGCGAUACUUGGUGUGAAUUGCAGAAUCCCGUGAACCAUCGAGUUUUUGAACGCAAGUUGCGCCCGAAGCCUUUUGGCCGAGGGCACGUCUGCCUGGGCGUCACGCAUCGCGUCGCCCCCCACAAUUCUCCGUAAAGGGAACAUGUGUUUUGGGGGCGGAUAUUGGUCUCCCGUGCUCAUGGCGUGGUUGGCCGAAAUAGGAGUCCUUUCGAUGGACGCACGAACUAGUGGUGGUCGUAAAAACCCUCGUCGUUUGUUUCGUGCUGUUGCUCGCAAGGUAAACUCUUUAAAAACCCCAAUGUGUCGUCUCUUGACGACGCUUCGACCGCGACCCCAGGUCAGGCGGGACUACCCGCUGAGUUUAAGCAUAUCAAUAAGCGGAGGA